rnacentral:rRNA from 1 species
GGGAGUGAAAUAGAACCUGAAACCGUAUACGUACAAGCAGUGGGAGCCCUUCGGGGUGACUGCGUACCUUUUGUAUAAUGGGUCAGCGACUUAUAUUUAGUAGCAAGGUUAAGUGAAUAACGGAGCCGUAGCGAAAGCGAGUGUUAACUGCGCGUUUAGUUGCUAGGUAUAGACCCGAAACCCGGUGAUCUAGCCAUGAGCAGGUUGAAGGUUGAGUAACAUCAACUGGAGGACCGAACCCACUAACUUUGAAAAGUUAGGGGAUGACUUGUGGCUGGGGGUGAAAGGCCAAUCAAACCGGGAGAUAGCUGGUUCUCCCCGAAAUCUAUUUAGGUAGAGCCUCGGACGAAUUCCAUUGGGGGUAGAGCACUGUUAAGGCUAGGGGGUCAUCCCGACUUACCAACCCUUUGCAAACUCCGAAUACCAAUGAGAACUAUCCGGGAGACACACGGCGGGUGCUAACGUCCGUCGUGGAGAGGGAAACAACCCAGACCGCCAGCUAAGGUCCCAAAAUAUUGCUAAGUGGGAAACGAUGUGGGAAGGCAUAGACAGCUAGGAGGUUGGCUUAGAAGCAGCCAUCCUUUAAAGAAAGCGUAAUAGCUCACUAGUCGAGUCGGCCUGCGCGGAAGAUGUAACGGGGCUAAAACUAUGUGCCGA